CAAGCGACCAAGCGUAUACGGUGGAUGCCUUGGCAGUCAGAGGCGAUGAAGGACGUGGCAGCCUGCGAAAAGUGUCGGGGAGCUGGCAACAAGCUUUGAUCCGGCAAUGUCCGAAUGGGGAAACCCACCGCUUAGGCGGUACCGUGCACUGAAUACAUAGGUGUACGGAGCGAACCCGGGGAACUGAAAUAUCUAAGUACCCGGAGGAAAAGAAAUCAACCGAGAUUCCGUAAGUAGCGACGAGCGAACGCGGAGCAGCCCAAAAGCGCACAGUGUUUUAGCUAAAGGAUCUGGAAAGGUCCGCCAUAGACGGUGAUAGCCCGGUAGGCGAAAGGGCACCGUGCGUGAAAUUGAGUAGGGCGGGGCACGAGAAACCCUGUCUGAACAUGGGGGGGACCAUCCUCCAAGGCUAAAUACUCCUGACUGACCGAUAGCGAACAAGUACCGUGAGGGAAAGGCGAAAAGAACCCCGGAGAGGGGAGUGAAAUAGACCCUGAAACCGUAUACGUACAAGCAGUGGAAGCCCGCAAGGGUGACUGCGUACCUUUUGUAUAAUGGGUCAGCGACUUACUGUCAGUGGCGAGCUUAACCGUCUAGGGGAGGCGAAGGGAAACCGAGUCUGAAUAGGGCGCAUAGUC
rnacentral:rRNA from 1 species